rnacentral:rRNA from 1 species
GACGAACGCUGGCGGCGUGCUUAACACAUGCAAGUCGAACGGAAAGGCCCUGCUUGCAGGGUACUCGAGUGGCGAACGGGUGAGUAACACGUGGGUGAUCUGCCCUGCACUUCGGGAUAAGCCUGGGAAACUGGGUCUAAUACCGGAUAGGAGCCAUUUUUAGUGUGAUGGUUGGAAAGUUUUUUCGGUGUAGGAUGAGCUCGCGGCCUAUCAGCUUGUUGGUGGGGUAAUGGCCUACCAAGGCGGCGACGGGUAGCCGGCCUGAGAGGGUGGACGGCCACCAUGGGACUGAGAUACGGCCCAGGCUCCCACGGGAGGCAGCAGGGGGGAAUAAUGCACCAUUGGCGGAAGCCUGAUGCAGCGACGCCGCGUGGGGGAUGACGGCCUUCGGGUUGUAAACUCCUUUCGCUAGGGACGAAGCUUUUUGUGACGGUACCUAGAGAAGAAGCACCGGCUAACUACGUG